GACGGUACACCAAGAAUAAGAGACGGCUAACUACGUGCCAGCAGCCGCGGUAAUACGUAGGUCUCAAGCGUUAUCCGGAUUUACUGGGCGUAAAGUAUCCGUAGCCUGAUAUGUAAGUCUGUUUUCAAAUCCCACGACUCAAUCGUGGAAAGGGAAUGGAUACUGCAUAUCUAGAAGUUAUUGGGGGUUAGUGGAAUUUCCGGUGGAGCGGUGAAAUGCGUUGAUAUCGGAAAGAACGCCGAAAGCGAAAGCAGCUAACUAUGAUUAACUUGACGGUGAGGGAUGAAAGUUUGGGUAGCAAACGGGAUUAGAUACCCCGGUAGUCCAAACUGUAAAUUAUGCUUGCUAGGUGUUUCGAUCCUUGUGGUCGGAGUGCCGUAAUCUAACGAGUUAAGCAAGUCGCCUGGGUAGUAUAUUCGCAAGAAUGAAACUCAAAGGGAUAGGCGGGGGAACACACAAGCAGUGGAUUAUCUAGAUUAAUUGGAUAAUAAGCCAAGAAUCUUACCUAGAAUUGACAUGCAUUGUGUCUCAUAUGAAAGUAUGAUAUUUGUAGCAAUACAGAGCUUUGCACAGGUGGUGCAUGGUCGUCGUCAGCUCGUGCCGCAAGGUGUCCAGUUAA
rnacentral:rRNA from 1 species